AGAGUUUGAUCCUGGCUCAGAACGAACGCUGGCGGCAGGCUUAACACAUGCAAGUCGAACGCACCUUUCGGGGUGAGUGGCAGACGGGUGAGUAACGCGUGGGAAUCUACCCUUCUCUACGGGAUAGCUCCGGGAAACUGGAAUUAAUACCGUAUACGUCCUGAGGGAGAAAGAUUUAUCGGGGAAGGAUGAGCCCGCGUUGGAUUAGCUAGUUGGUGGGGUAAAGGCCUACCAAGGCGACGAUCCAUAGCUGGUCUAAGAGGAUGAUCAGCCACAUUGGGACUGAGACACGGCCCAAACUCCUACGGGAGGCAGCAGUGGGGAAUAUUGGACAAUGGGCGCAAGCCUGAUCCAGCCAUGCCGCGUGAGUGAUGAAGGCCCUAGGGUUGUAAAGCUCUUUCAGUGGGGACGAUAAUGACGGUACCCACAGAAGAAGCCCCGGCUAACUUCGCG
rnacentral:rRNA from 1 species